rnacentral:rRNA from 1 species
AGUGAACGCUGGCGGUAGGCCUAACACAUGCAAGUCGAACGGCAGCACAGUAAGAGCUUGCUCUUACGGGUGGCGAGUGGCGGACGGGUGAGGAAUACAUCGGAAUCUACUUUUUCGUGGGGGAUAACGUAGGGAAACUUACGCUAAUACCGCAUACGACCUACGGGUGAAAGCAGGGGAUCUUCGGACCUUGCGCGAUUGAAUGAGCCGAUGUCGGAUUAGCCAGUUGGCGGGGUAAAGGCCCACCAAGGCGACGAUCCGUAGCUGGUCUGAGAGGAUGAUCAGCCACACUGGAACUGAGACACAGUCCAGACUCCUACGGGAGGCAGCAGUGGGGAAUAUUGGACAAUGGGCGCAAGCCUGAUCCAGCCAUACCGCGUGGGUGAAGAAGGCCUUCGGGUUGUAAAGCCCUUUUGUUGGGAAAGAAAAGCAGCAGGUUAAUACCCCGCUGUUCUGACGGUACCCAAAGAAUAAGCACCGGCUAACUUCGUG